UUGUAACGGUUUUUUAUGUCUGUUGUUUUGUGAUUUUUGUGAAAGAUCCAGUUUAAGGAGCUGUGGUGAUAAAAUUUUCCAACACAAAAGAAAAAGACAUGGAAGCAGUAAUCAAAGACUGGUUGAAGUCUUCAAAAAUUCGGUUUACCAGCAAAGAGAUAUCUAAGUACGGUGCGCUUUCCAAGAAAACCAAAGACAAUUGAGAAAAUUUUCAAGAGCUUUUUAGCUCAAAUGCAGACGAAAAAACGUUCACAGCCUCGCACACUGGAUGAGGAGGAUGACAUUUCAAGGGUCCAGGUUCCACAAGAAUGAAACUUAGAUGAAUACAUUUCAUCAAUCAAUCAAUCAAUCAUUUUAUUCAGUAAAAAGCAUUACAAAAUUGGUCCCGCUAAACCUAAAAGAUUUUACAGCAGGUGCCUUCAAAUAAUAAAAUAAAUAAAUAGAAUGAAUGCUAACUUUAACGAUAAACUAAGAAAAAAAAUUUCAUGUAACUGGGAGUUUAGGAAUUUAAAAGGAGUAUGGGGUAUUAGAUGAACUAAGGAUGAUUAUAAUCAAGUUCCUAUCAUGUGACCAUCGAAGAAUAUUAUUAUAGUCAUCUUGAAUCAAUUUUUCGGCUAUUUUGAAAUUUUUAUGGGCUACUAUCAAAGCAGUGUCGUCUGCAUACAUGAAGAGCUCUCCAUUUUUUAUCACAGAUGGCAAUCCAUUAACGUAAAUGUUAUAUAAAAUAGGCGCUAGUAUACUUCCCUGUGGUACUCCUACAUCGCAUCCAUAAGAUUGACUGGUGUAUUUAUCUAAUUUUACAAGAAAAGAGUGGUUAUGUAAAUAAUUCUUGAACCAAUCAUAAUUGUAACCAGAAAUACCAAUCUUAUUCAAUUCAUUUAAAAGAAACUGGUGAUCGAGGGUAUCAAAAGCCUUUGAAUAGUCAAUGAAUAUAGCCAGUACAUGCAGAGUGGAACUAUUAGAUGAAGAGUACAUGCAAUAAUGUAGUGGUCUGAAAUUUUUACGUUGAUAACGCUGGUGUCCACAUCAACAUCAUCAUAAGUCCUGACAAAAAUAUGGACGAUGCAUGAUUUGGUUAUUAUGUUCAACCUAGGCUCUUCACGAGUAACAAUGGAGAUACCUUUUAAUACAUCCAAAUGAAUUUGGCAUUGAAUAGAUUCAUAUAAAUUAAUAUUAUGAUCAUUCCUUUUCAAAAGAUCUAGGUUUGUAUCUCCCACUAUAACAAGGUUAGACCUAUUAUCAAAUUCUAGAAUCAAGUUCUUCAGAUCUGGAAUAAAAUCAAUCUUUCUAACACAAUGAGGUCUAUAUAAAGCUAUUAUAUUAAAUUUAUAUCCGCUCAUGGAAAGGUUAAGGCUCAAAUUAAUAUUCGAAAUUUGUUAUAACAGUUUGAGGGUUGAAGAUAUUGUAAGAGAUUUCUUUUUUUAAGAAAAUAGCCAAUCCAUGUUCAUUACUUUUAGCAGGGAAUUUGAAGAUAGAUUUAUAGCCUCGUAUUCUAAAAGUACUGCUUAUAGAACUGUCAAUGUUUAUUUCAGAGAUGUAAUGUUUAUUACAUUAAUAAAUAUUUUAAGAAUUUAUAACCUGUGUUUCUCUGUGAGUCGACCACCUAUCACGCUGUAUAUUUACUGUUUUAACAAUGACACUGUAUUUUCAAACUCUGUUAAUGAAAAAAGUUGAAAUUACUUUCAAGGGCACUGAUCAACUUUGAGUUAUCUAAAUUACCAAAUUAUAUUUUAUUCCAAUGUAACUCUCAAGUUCUAAAAUAUUUGUUGUAUAGUUGACCGAACAUAGUGAGGUCUAUGUUACAACUUGACUUGCUUUUGUCUGUCUGUAUGUAACGCGAUUACGGCCAAACGCGUUUAUAGAAUUCGAUGAGAUUUGGCAGGAAUAUUCCUUUUUCA